GGGCCGCCGGGAGUUGUAGUGCGCGCGCAGGGGGAGGGGGGACUACGGGUCCCAGCGGCCCCUGCGCGGAGGCGGCGGGGUCGUCGUCGUCGUCGUCGGUGGCGGCGGCGGCGGCGGGUCCGGCUGAGGCGGCGCGUUCGUCCCUCUCUCCUCUUUCCAUCGGAGCGGCGGGGGAAGAUGGCGGGCGGCGGAGUAUUCUUGUCUUGAAGGCAAAUAAGGUGGAUUUUUCUGAAGAGCUAGGCAGUGGAAUGCGAUAUUUUACGUGAUUCUAGGAAAGCUUCUAGACGGAUAACCGCAGUAGCCCAGCGGACUAGUAUAGUAAGUAUAAUAGUAAAUGUGUUUGUCCUGUUCCAGACAUGAGAUCACUUAGUUUUCAGGGUUCGUCGAGCACGUAGUUCAAAAUAGAGACAGUGCCAUUAGCAUUUCAUAGCGGUUUCUUCCAGACUUGUAGGAAGCCACAACCUUAUGUGACGCGUCAGUAAAGAUUCAGCCUGAAUAUGUUACUUUGAUUAAUUCUGUGUCCGUUUGGAGAAGCGGUGUGACCUAGUGGAAAGAGCGGAAAGGGUCCGGGAGUCAGAGGACUUGGGUUCCAAUUCCGCUCUGCCACACGUCCGCUGCGUGAUGUUGGGCAAGUCACUUCGCUUCUCUGGGCCUCAGUUUUCUCGUCUGUAAAACGGGGAUUCAAUCCUACCCCCUCCUACUUAGACCGUGAGCCCCAUGUGGGUCCAACCUGACUGACCCGUAUCCACUCCAGCGCUUAGAACAGUGCCUGGCACAUAGUAAGCGCUUAAUAAGUACCACAACCGUUGUUUAUGGUUCCUCUUUCUGGGUGUUGCGAAUUCACCGGCCCCAGCCCGGUGAUAAUCUUUUGUGUCGGGAGUAAAUCACUCAAAUGAAUUGGUUAAAAUUAAGAGUGGUCAUUUUGGGUGGUUUCGGAGCUCCAGUUCCGAAAAAGGUCAAAAUAAGGUUUGGGUAAAUAUUUUUGGAAAGCAGUUGUUCUUGCAACCCUUUGAGUGUAAUAUUUCCGCUUCCGAUCCCUUCCCUUCAUUUGUCUCCCAAAGACACGGCCCAUUCCUUGCUAGAUAACUUGGGGUGAGGGGCCGUAGGGCCUAUGAUGUUUGUCGACACCACCGGAACAUUUGAUUCCAGUUAGGGUAGCGCGCCAAGUUCUGCAGCCCAAGAAUGACUUCAGCAAAAGAUUCUUGCGGUAAACAGCCAUAAGGAUAACGCCCAUUACGCUACAUGGUGUAAACUGGAAAGGGAUCAAAUCAGGGCGAAACCUCACUACAACACGUAUGGCCUGUUUGGGGAGAGAAACCAGGCACCACCAUAUUCUAGGGCCACCUGCUUAGCUCUGGAUAUUAGGGGCACUCGUUUUAUUUAUUGAGCACUGUUUUCAGACCCUCGCUUUUAUCGAUUGGUUUUUUUUCCA
rnacentral:lncRNA from 1 species